rnacentral:rRNA from 1 species
GACGAACCGUGCGAACGUUAUUCGGAAUCACUGGGCUUAAAGGGCGCGUAGGCGGGCCCGUCAGUCAGGGGUGAAAUCCCACGGCCCAACCGUGGAACUGCCUCAGAUACUGACGGCCUCGAGGGAGAUAGGGGCGAGCGGAACUAAUGGUGGGGCGGUGAAAUGCGUUGAUAUCAUUAGGAACUCCGGUGGCGAAGGCGGCUCGCUGGAUCUUUUCUGACGCUGAGGCGCGAAAGCUAGGGGAGCAAACGGG